CCCUAUGGGGUGCAGCAGGCAUUAUAUUGGGAUGCACUGAGCUUCCAAUGGUAAUAAAUACUAAUGAAGUUGAUGUCCCCUAUUUGAUACUCUAAAGAUACAUAUGUUGGCGGCCAUGAAAUUUUCAUUGAAUGAUUAUUUAGGGUAAAAUUUAUUAAGUAGUCUAAAAAAAUCUGUGGAGAGGAGACAAACAUGAAAAAGGAAAAAAUAAAACAACAACAUAAACAGAAGAAGUUCAGAUCAGAAGGAACAAAUAUGCUGAUUGGUAUUGGUCUUGGUAUCGUCUUUUACUUAAUAUUUGGUAACUUUAUUCUUGCAGCCAUCAUGGCAAUAGUAGUCGUUACCAUCUUAGGAAUUGGCGGGGGGGC
rnacentral:rRNA from 1 species